GCCGUGAUCUUCUAGUGGUUAGGACAUUGUGUUGUGGCCGCAAUAACCCAGGUUCAAAUCCUGGUUACUGCA
rnacentral:tRNA from 1 species